UACGAAGGGGGCUAGCGUUGCUCGGAAUCACUGGGCGUAAAGCGCACGUAGGCGGCUUUCUAAGUCAGGGGUGAAAUCCUGGAGCUCAACUCCAGAACUGCCUUUGAUACUGGGAAGCUCGAGUCCGGAAGAGGUGAGUGGAACUCCGAGUGUAGAGGUGAAAUUCGUAGAUAUUCGGAAGAACACCAGUGGCGAAGGCGGCUCACUGGCCCGAUACUGACGCUGAGGCACGAAAGCGUGGGGAGCAAACAGG
rnacentral:rRNA from 1 species